rnacentral:rRNA from 1 species
AAAGUAUAAUAAAGAAAAAAGAAAGCGCUACAUAGCUGAAACAUUUGCAUAGUAUAAAUAUAUAGAAUAUUUAAAUGCAUCUGCAAGUAAUUAUGGCCUUUGUCUUGUGGGAUACAUGUGUGCUACGUUGUAUAACCUAUACAAUGGUUAUAAGAAAUAAGCAGGAUGGUUUUAUGAAAAGGAAAACCUGAAAUAGUAAUGGCGAGUAAUUAUAAAUCAAGAAGUUAUAAUGAAGACAGGGUUAAGCACGUACGUGUUUAUUUUAAAUAGUAAGUGGGGUACUAUUAAGUUUAAACUUACUAUCUGCCCUUCUGCCUAUAGGGCUUCUGCUUCUUUAAAAGGGGUAAGGGCUUUCCUCUUUCCCCCUAUCCCUUAAAGGCUCUUAUGGAGGCUUUAAGGGAUAGGGGGAAAGAGGAAAGCCCUUAAAGGCCUACAAACCCAUUUUACAGUUUAUGAUGCACACAUCGCCCGUCACUGUCUGAACGAGUGCAUAGGGUAGAAGAAAAGUAUUAUUGUAGUAAUACUAACGAACCCCUUUCCUCUAUCGGAUAAAAGUCGUAACAGGUUAUAGUUGGGGAACCAGCCGUAGAGAUAAUUUAAUUAAUAUAAAAAACCAAUGUACAAAAACCCUUUAUGUAGUGCCCCCCUAUAC